UCGAUCAAAUUACGGGAAUAUGCAAAAGACCUAUGCAUGAGUUAAAAGAAAUGACCAGAGACAGAGAUCUUUGGAGACGGACAAUACACGACAUCACGUCGACCACUACACUCCCUCCGGGGGGUCAGGAUUGAAGAGAGAGAUCUACAAUCGGUUAAUAUCUGAAUCGGACCGGUACGCCACGAGUGUUCGGUAUCAGUACAACUAAAAUUUUAUCUAUGAAGGGCGAAGGCUAUAGAAAAUUUUACAGGAUUACAGAGCGCUAAGAAGUAGCUGAAACAGAGGGAGAUAAAUCAUUUAACAAAGCAUGUACCCAGAAACAGAUGUCUAUACGAUAAAAUACGAUUUGUCGAUGUAGAUAAUUCACACAUGUUUGUUCUUUUGAAAAUAAAAGUGCAACACAUUAGAUUUUAAUAAUAAAUACACACUAUUCUUAUCAGGCCUAGAAAAAAAA
rnacentral:lncRNA from 1 species